AGUGAACGUUGGCGGCGUGGAUUAGGCAUGCAAGUCGAGCGGUAAGGCCCCUUCGGGGGUACACGAGCGGCGAAAGGGAGAGGAAUACGCGGGUACCUGCCCUCAGGCCCGGGAUAACCAGGGGAAACUCUGGCUAAUACCGGAUAACAUCUCCGGAUCAAAGGUGUGAUUCCGCCUGGGGAUGGGCCCACGUCCUAUUAGCUAGUUGGUGAGGUAACGGCUCACCAAGGCCACGAUGGGUACGAGGUGUGAGAGCAUGACCUCGCUCACUGGGACUGAGACACUGCCCAGACACCUACGGGUGGCUGCAGUCGAGAAUCUUCGGCAAUGGGCGCAAGCCUGACCGAGCGACGCCGCGUACGGGAUGAAGGCCUUCGGGUUGUAAACCGUUAUCAGAGGGGAGGAAAUCUUGUUGGGUUCUCCCAGCAAGUUGACCUAGCCUCAGAGGAAGGACGGGCUAAGUUCGUGCCAGCCGCCGCAGUAACAC
rnacentral:rRNA from 1 species